rnacentral:rRNA from 1 species
UGGGGAAUAUUGCACAAUGGGCGCAAGCCUGAUGCAGCCAUGCCGCGUGUAUGAAGAAGGCCUUCGGGUUGUAAAGUACUUUCAGCGGGGAGGAAGGGAGUAAAGUUAAUACCUUUGCUCAUUGACGUUACCCGCAGAAGAAGCACCGGCUAACUCCGUGCCAGCAGCCGCGGUAAUACGGAGGGUGCAAGCGUUAAUCGGAAUUACUGGGCGUAAAGCGCACGCAGGCGGUUUGUUAAGUCAGAUGUGAAAUCCCCGAGCUCAACCUGGGAACUGCAGCUGAUACUGGCAAGCUUGAGUCUCGUAGAGGGGGGUAGAAUUCCAGGUGUAGCGAUGAAAUGCGUAGAGAUCUGGAGGAAUACCGGUGGCGAAGGCGGCCCCCUGGACGAAGACUGACGCUCAGGUGCGAAAGCGUGGGGAGCAAACAGG